GAUCAGUGGUGAAAAAUAGUCAAAUAUGAGCAUCAGGAGUGCAAGAUCUGUAUGAAUUUCUGAAA
rnacentral:snoRNA from 1 species